GACGGACGCUGGCGGCGUGCCUAAUACAUGCAAGUUGAGCGCUGAAGGUUGGUACUUGUACCAACUGGAUGAGCAGCGAACGGGUGAGUAACGCGUGGGGAAUCUGCCUUUGAGCGGGGGACAACAUUUGGAAACGAAUGCUAAUACCGCAUAAAAACUUUAAACACAAGUUUUAAGUUUGAAAGAUGCAAUUGCAUCACUCAAAGAUGAUCCCGCGUUGUAUUAGCUAGUUGGUGAGGUAAAGGCUCACCAAGGCGAUGAUACAUAGCCGACCUGAGAGGGUGAGCGGCCACAUUGGGACUGAGACACGGCCCAAACUCCUACGGGAGGCAGCAGUAGGGAAUCUUCGGCAAUGGACGAAAGUCUGACCGAGCAACGCCGCGUGAGUGAAGAAGGUUUUCGGAUCGUAAAACUCUGUUGGUAGAGAAGAACGUUGGUGAGAGUGGAAAGCUCAUCAAGUGACGGUAACUACCCAGAAAGGGACGGCUAACUACGUG
rnacentral:rRNA from 1 species